GCAUACCACCAACAAAGCCGCCGCGUUCUCCUCUGCGACACGCAACCUUUUCCCCUCCCCCCUAUAGACUAGACCAGAUCCUUGAUAUAGAGAAGAACACGCCCCUUCCUCCCAACCACAACUACCUCCAUCUCGGCAAGGUGAGCCCGUGAGUCUCUGUCUACCAUGAUUUUUUCCUCCUCGAAACCCCCGUGCGCUCUCUGGUUCGCAGGUUCCUCGUCGAUCGGCGGGCUGGGCUUGCGGCGAUCUUGGAGCGAGACGCGAGGCGGCUGCAUCUUCCGAUCUCCCCGUCCGGCGACUCAGAUCUGUUACCUAUCUGAUGGCCCGCGGCGGAUCUGGGGGUUCCCGGCGGUCUAGAGUUGACUCUGCGGCGAUGAAGGCUUCUUCUCCGACGUGCACGUGUGGAUCCCGGCUUCCCCGCUUCGCGCGACGACGGCU
rnacentral:rRNA from 1 species